rnacentral:rRNA from 1 species
UACGAAAGGUGCAAGCGUUAUUCAUAGUUAUUGGGCGUAAAGGGUAUGUAGGCGGGGCUAAAAAAUUUUUGUUUAAAAUGCUUGGAAUUACCCUAAGAACAAAACUUUUAGAUUAUAGCCCUAGAGUUAAUAUCGGGUCGGAGGUACUUCCAGCGAAAGAGUAGAAUCUUACGAUUCUGGAAGGACCACCAAAGGCAAAGGCAUCCCUCCAGAGUUAACAUGACGCUGAGGUACGGAAGCGUAGGGAGCAAACAGG